AAAUACUGUGGGGAGAAAGAAUAGCCUCAGGGCUUGGAUGCCAGACCUGAGCCCCUGAGAGAGCUGUGGGGGAGGGUCUCGACCUACUCCCUCCGCUCAGCGCUCCUCACUCUCAAAGGAGCCUCGGUCCAGGUCCACUUUGAACUUUAAGCCAAAGCAAUAGCUCCGUUUCAAGGUGUAACUGUAUUAUCCCUUCUCAUAAAGAUCUCUUGUGAUAAUUGUUCUCCCAUCACGGAACAAUCUAGGCCCUCUGUGGGGGACCAAGCACGUGAAGGUCUUCCUGACUCUCAUCUCCACUCAUCACGGAAAGGCUGAAAGAGGAAGGGCUCUUCUCCUCUGAGGCAGGAGAGAAGACUAACAAGGGAGGACUUGGGGUGGCUGGAGGAAAGGCCCAGGGUCCCCCAUCAGGUUUCGUCAUUGUCCUUGGCUUUCGUGACUUACUCCUCACACAAGCCCGGACUUGGUCCCGAGUGUCUGUCCGCUGGCUGAGGCUGGGUCUGCUCCCUUGAGGCCGGGCGCUAGAGGGGCUUGUUUCCUUCUGAAAGGGCCUUCUGGCCCUAAGAAAUGCACCUGUCACACCCGGUGACGAAGAGCUGCACUGCCCUUCCCCUCUGCUGGGGUCUGCGGGCUUCUACAUACACAAGCUCUUGCGCAACACACAGCUCCUCAUCAUUGGAAACGGCUUAAUUUCCGCACAAAGACAACAUUUUGCCAGUCAUGUGUUUAUCCUUCCCAGCCCAAACAGCAUGAUAUUUAAUUUCCAUCAUACAUUAAAACAGCCCACAUCAAAAACACACAUAAUUAAUAUGUAGUCAGACUAAUACUUAAAUACUAUAUAUCAGAGGCAUUACACUUAAACCACAAUGUCUUCCUGAACAAGAUUGGGAAUGCACAAAACUACUUAUUUUUCCCUUUUAUAAUGAUGCAGUGACUCACACCAAAUAGAAAAUUAUUAGUUUUUCAUCCCAAACCAUGAAAUAUUGCCUCCAUCAGUAAAGUAUAAUAUUGUGAUGUCAUAAGCUUUUUCUAAACACUGAAUUUGCCCUUAUUCCCUCUCAAUCAUUUUAAAAGAACUGCUCUCUUUUAUAGAGCUUGGAUUUAAAUCACAAUAACGCCGAGGGAAGAUGAAUGACAGUGCUAUUGAAUGUGGCUAAAAUUGGAUACUUCAGCACAGGUGGAGGGUGCUGGUUCUGCACUGAAUCCCUGAAGGGACGAUGACCAUGUACGCCAGUGGGGAGCAGAAAGAGUUGCAGCUUGGAAUUCCAUAGGAAACGGGCUCGGCCUGGCGUACAGUUUCUCCCUCCCCGCCCAUGGGCCAUCUCCUGUGGACAUUCCUGCAAUCACACUUACCUUCUCGUUGAGCAGGAUG